CGUCUCCACCCCCAACCUGCCCUUGCCCUUUCUCUCCUUCUCCUCCGUCGUCCUGCCCAACCCUCGCCCUUUUUCUCCUUCUCCUGCGUCCUUUUGCCCACAGGUCACGCUUGCUCCUCCUCCCCACGCUUGCUGCCCUCGCCUCCCUCACCCAACUCACCCUUUUCCUCAACCCUAGAGUGGCGCACGCUCGCCUGAGAGUUUUUCCCCAAAAUCAGUCCAUUGCAGCAACCUUACUACCGGGCAUCAACAAACUAUACUCAGUUGCUAAAUGAUGAACACAAAGAUAGCAUUGAAGAGGUUGAUGGUGCCAGGUUAAGUGGCAUAUAUCCUGAUGAGUCGUAUGCAUUUUCAUCUCCUUCAAGAGUGGCCACUCCAAGAACCAAUGGAAAACUUUCUUCUGGAAAACCUUCUGCAACCAAAGUGCAUCAUAUGACUCCUUUUGGGCAAAGGAUUAAUACGUUUGUUUUGCAGUUUGAAUUCAAUCCUCCAAAAGCCGAGAAUGGUAGAAAAGAAGGGGAAAUUGAUGAUUUAGAAGAUGAUGUCAUUAGAAGAGUUAAGCCUAUAAAAAGGUGUUCAUUGCAUGUCCGAGAAUUGAGACCAAAGCCAGGUUGCAGAUUCAAGUAUGAUAAGAUUAAGGACCGGGUUGCAAAUUCAUGUAUGAUAAGAUUAAGGACCGGGUAAAAGACAUGUUUGCACUUGUCUUUUUUCUUCCGUAGGUUUACCAGUAGUAGUUUUCCGUGCUAAGAGAGGAUGUCUUGUUUUCUUUUUUAGAAUGUACAGAUUUGCGCAAUUUCUUUGCCUCGUAUUGUAUUUCUUUUCUUUGUAAAAAAAAGGUUUAUUUUGGAAA